rnacentral:rRNA from 1 species
UACGUAGGUGGCAAGCGUUACUCGGAAUUACUAGGCGUAAAGCGCAGGUAGGUGGUCGGAUAAGUCCGUUAUGAAAUCUCCCGGCCUAACUGGGAGGGGUUAAAGGAUACUGUCUGACUCGAGUGUGGGAGAGGUCACUGGAAUUCCUGGUGUAGCGGUGAAAUGCGUAGAUAUCAGGAGGAACACCAAUGGCGAAAGCAGGUGACUGGCCCAAUACUGACGCUGAGCUGCGAAAGCUAGGGGAGCAAACAGG